rnacentral:rRNA from 1 species
CCUACGGGUGGCAGCAGUGAGGAAUAUUGGUCAAUGGACGCAAGUCUGAACCAGCCAUGCCGCGUGCAGGAAGACGGCUCUAUGAGUUGUAAACUUCUUUUGUACGAGGGUAAACGCAGACACGCGUACCUGUUUGAAAGUACCGUAUGAAUAAGGAUCGGCUAACUCCGUGCCAGCAGCCGCGGUAAUACGGAGGAUCCGAGCGUUAUCCGGAUUUAUUGGGUUUAAAGGGUGCGUAGGUGGUCUGGUAAGUCAGUGGUGAAAGUUCGAGGCUCAACUUUGGAAUUGCCUCUGAUACUGGUAGGCUUGAGAGUAGUUGCGGUAGGCGGAAUGUAUGGUGUAGCGGUGAAAUGCUUAGAGAUCAUGCAGAACACCGAUUGCGAAGGCAGCUUACCAAGCUACUUCUGACGUUGAGGCUCGAAAGCGUGGGGAGCAAACAGGAUUAGAUACCCCGGUAGUC